UACGUAGGGGGCAAGCGUUGUCCGGAAUCAUUGGGCGUAAAGCGCGCGUAGGCGGCCCGAUAAGUCCGCUGUAAAAGUCAACGGCUCAACUGUUGAACGCCGGUGGAUACUGUCGGGCUAGAGUCCGGAAGAGGCAAGUGGAAUUCCUGGUGUAGCGGCGGAAUGCGCAGAUAUCAGGAGGAACACCAAUAGCGAAGGCAGCUUGCUGGGACGGUACUGACGCUAAGGCGCGAAAGCGUGGGGAGCGAACAGG
rnacentral:rRNA from 1 species